rnacentral:snRNA from 1 species
ACUCAUACCUUGCAGGGGAAAUACCAUAUCAUACAAGUGGUUUUCCCAGGGUGAGGCUCAUCCAUUGCACUUUGGGUGUGCUGCUGAUCCCUGUGAUUUCCCCAAAUGUGAAGAACUCAAUUGGAUAAUUUGUGUUAAUGGGAGAUUACACUUAUGAUUUCCCU